rnacentral:lncRNA from 1 species
CACCCAACCCCGGGAGAGGCAUACGAAGAACUCUAUGAGCCCCUAGCCUACAAUCCUGAUUCUAGACCUCCAGACUCCCCUAUCAAGGGACAUGUCCUCGGAAACCUGCAUUCUAGUCAUGUCCUGCCUAAUCACCUCUCCCAAUGCUUCUUAGGCCUCCCUUUUCCUCGCCGACCGCCAACAAUCUCCAGCCGCUCGCAGCUCCUCACCGGGGCAUCGGGACCCCUCCUCCGCACAUGCCCGAACCACCUCAGCCUCGCUUCCCGCAUCUUCUCAUCCACCGGGGCCACCCCUACCUCCUGUCGAAUAACUUCAUUCUUAAUCUUAUCUAGCCUGGUGUGCCCACACAUCCACCUAAGCAUCCUCAUCUCCGCAACCUUCAGUCUCUGAACAAG